AACGAACGCUGGCGGCAUGCCUAACACAUGCAAGUCGAACGAACCCUUCGGGGUUAGUGGCGCACGGGUGCGUAACGCGUGGGAAUCUGCCCUUUGCUUCGGAAUAACAGUUAGAAAUGACUGCUAAUACCGGAUGAUGUCUUCGGACCAAAGAUUUAUCGGCAAGGGAUGAGCCCGCGUAGGAUUAGGUAGUUGGUGGGGUAAAGGCCUACCAAGCCGACGAUCCUUAGCUGGUCUGAGAGGAUGAUCAGCCACACUGGGACUGAGACACGGCCCAGACUCCUACGGGAGGCAGCAGUGGGGAAUAUUGGACAAUGGGCGCAAGCCUGAUCCAGCAAUGCCGCGUGAGUGAUGAAGGCCUUCGGGUCGUAAAGCUCUUUUACCAGGGAUGAUAAUGACAGUACCUG
rnacentral:rRNA from 1 species